GGCACUGCACCUCGCGGCUGAUACCCGGUUCUCCCCACUGGAGGUGGGGUCUCCAAUGCCGCCGCCCCUUACCUCGCGCCCUUGGUGCAGAUCCCGGAGGCGGGGGUGACCGGCAGGUUUGGCUCACCACCCAGGGGCCCUUUCAAUGCACACUCUCAGGUCACUGUUGUCAACAAGGAACCAGCUAGCCAAGAUGAUGUCAUUUCUACUGAAGUUUUACCUUUGACUUGAUCAAGCGGCCCUGGGUCUAGAACUGCCCUCUAGAACUGACACCACAACACUGUUUCUUUCCCCUGGGUAGCAGGAGCUGAGGAUCAAACCCAGGGCCCUGCGCUUUCUAGGCAAGCGCUCUACCAGGGAGCUAAAUCCCCAACCCUGUAUCCUGGCAUUUCCAUGUCUUGUUAUACACUGCAGGCAGGAUUUCUGUGUACCACAUCUUUACUAUGGAUUGUGGAUUGUGUUAAUCACCAGGACAAUGUGAUUAACCUUUGCCCCAUUCAGUGUUCGCCUGCAGUUAUCCUUGGACAAAGUUCCUAUCAUGACCCCUGCUUUUGUAUUUGCAGCCACCUGAUAAAAAUCUGUCUGUCUGUUUUGAAGUUCUCUGAGUCACUUU